GUCUAUGGCCAUGUUACCCUGAACAAGCCUGAUCUCGUCUGAUCUCCAAAGCUAAGCAGGGUCGGGCCUGGUUAGUACUUGGAUGGGAGACCACCUAAGAAGACCAGAUGCUAUAGGCG
rnacentral:rRNA from 1 species